GACGAACGCUGGCGGCGUGCUUAACACAUGCAAGUCGAACGUGAUUUUUGUGGAAAUUCUUUCGGGAAUGGACAUGAAAUGAAAGUGGCGAACGGGUGAGUAACACGUGAGCAACCUACCUUACACAGGGGGAUAGCCGUUGGAAACGACGAUUAAUACCGCAUGAGACCACAGAAUCGCAUGAUAUAGGGGUCAAAGAUUUAUCGGUGUAAGAAGGGCUCGCGUCUGAUUAGCUAGUUGGAAGGGUAAAGGCCUACCAAGGCGACGAUCAGUAGCCGGUCUGAGAGGAUGAACGGCCACAUUGGAACUGAGACCCGGUCCAAACUCCUACGGGAGGCAGCAGUGGGGAAUAUUGCACAAUGGGGGGAACCCUGAUGCAGCGACGCCGCGUGAGGGAAGAAGGUUUUCGAAUCGUAAAGCUCUGUCCUAUGAGAAGAUAAUGACGGUAUCAUAGGAGGAAGCCCCGGCUAAAUACGUG
rnacentral:rRNA from 1 species